rnacentral:tRNA from 1 species
GGGGUUGUGGCUCAGUGGUAGAGUGCUCGCCUAGCACAUGUGAGUCCUUGGGUUCGAUCCUCAGCACCACA